GACGAACGCUGGCGGCAGGCCUAACACAUGCAAGUCGAACGAGUGGCGGACGGGUGAGUAAUGUCUGGGAAACUGCCCGAUGGCGGGGGAUAACUACUGGAAACGGUAGCUAAUACCGCAUACCAUCGGAUGUUCCCAGAGGGGAUUAGCUGGUAGGUGGGGGAACGGCUCACCUGGGCGACGAUCCAUCGCUGGACUGAGAGGAUGACAAGCCACACUGGAACUGAGACAGGGUCCAGAGUCCUACGGGAGGCAGCAGUGGGGAAUAGGUCACAGUGGGCGCAAGCCUGAUGCAGUCAUGCCGCGUGUAUGAAGAAGGCCUUCGGUUUGUAAAGUACUUUCAGCGAGGAGGCGUUACUCGCAGAAGAAGCACCGGCUAACUCCGUGCCAGCAGCCGCGGUAAUUC
rnacentral:rRNA from 1 species